CGCGGCUUCCGUAGAGCAGCCAUUGAACAACAUGGUGCUGGAGAAGAAGACUUCCGCUCGGGUUGAAGCGGGUCAGCGCCGGGUUCUGGAUGAGGCGACCCGGCAGAGGAGGCUGACCCGGCAGCUGGAGGCCCUGGAGAAGGACAACUUCCAGGACGACCCCCUGUCCUCCCUGCCUCUCCCAGGUCCUACAGCCCGCCUGCCGGCUUUCAGCGAGUCUGAGGAACCAG